rnacentral:rRNA from 1 species
AGAUUGAACGCUGGCGGCAGGCCUAACACAUGCAAGUCGAACGGCAGCACAGGAGAGCUUGCUCUCUGGGUGGCGAGUGGCGGACGGGUGAGGAAUACAUCGGAAUCUACCUUUUCGUGGGGGAUAACGUAGGGAAACUUACGCUAAUACCGCAUAAGACCUUCGGGUGAAAGCCGGGGACCUUCGGGCCUGGCGCGGAUAGAUGAGCCGAUGUCGGAUUAGCUUGUUGGCGGGGUAAAGGCCCACCAAGGCGACGAUCCGUAGCUGGUCUGAGAGGAUGAUCAGCCACACUGGAACUGAGACACGGUCCAGACUCCUACGGGAGCAGCAGGUGGGGAAUAGUUGGACAAGUGGGCGACAAGGCCUGACU